UACGUAGGGUCCGAGCGUUGUCCGGAAUUAUUGGGCGUAAAGGGCUCGUAGGCGGCCAACUAAGUCAGACGUGAAAUCCCUCGGCUUAACCGGGGAACUGCAUCUGAUACUGGAUGGCUUGAGUUCGGGAGAGGGAUGCGGAAUUCCAGGUGUAGCGGUGAAAUGCGUAGAUAUCUGGAGGAACACCGGUGGCGAAGGCGGCAUCCUGGACCGAUACUGACGCUGAGGCGCGAAAGCCAGGGGAGCAAACGGG
rnacentral:rRNA from 1 species